AUGGAGGUGUUGCAGAUCUGGGACUUUCUGCUCAGGAUCCUCAAUCAGGAAGUCCUGGAGAGUUGCUCCAAGUUGAAGAUUGUCAACAAAUUGAGUCUCCCUGCAUCCCUAGUGGGCAUCAGCUCGGGCAUGUGUAAUUCAUUCAUUGCUGGUUCAGCCUAGAUGAGCAGCUACUAAGGAGUCCAGCAAGCAAGCAUUGCAUGCCACAUUCUCUCAGCCACUUCUUCAGUAGAGUUUUCUGGGUCCUGAUCUGUACAGAGGGACAGGCAAUGGGCAGGUUGUUCCUACAGUACCUGAGGAUGCUGGACAAAGAGAUCAUCCCCAUGGAUUUCUAUGGGGUUGCGAUAUACGUCCAGCCAUUACUUAUGUUCUCAUUUGCAUUUUUAUAUGGAGAAUUUUUCAAUUUAUUGCAAGCAGGCUUUAUGUAGUAAAAAAGAAAAAGCUUGCUGUAGAACACUCUGGACUAAUAAAAGAAAAUUGUGAUCUACUUGACAAACCUAACUUUCUAGAAAAAGAGGCAACCAAUGAACAGCUGAAGAUUUGCAAAUCUAAGCUGGACGAUAAAGUUCUUUCCGUUGAAAAACAAUUUGAACAAGAAUUGGAAAAAUGUGAUCGACCUGAAUUGGUGGCAAAGAUUUUACCAGCGUUACAGGC